rnacentral:rRNA from 1 species
AUUGAACGCUGGCGGCAGGCUUAACACAUGCAAGUCGAACGAGUGGCGGACGGGUGAGUAAUGUCUGGGAAACUGCCUGAUGGAGGGGGAUAACUACUGGAAACGGUAGCUAAUACCGCAUACCAUCGGAUGUGCCCAGAUGGGAUUAGCUAGUAGGUGGGGUAAUGGCUCACCUAGGCGACGAUCCCUAGCUGGUCUGAGAGGAUGACCAGCCACACGGGAACUGAGACACGGUCCAGACUCCUACGGGAGGCAGCAGUGGGGAAUAUUGCACAAUGGGCGCAAGCCUGAUGCAGCCAUCCCGCGGGUGCGAAGAAGGCCUUCGGGUUGUAAAGUACUUUUAGCGAGGAAGCGGUACCUGCAGAAUAAGCACCGGCUAACUCCGUGCCAGCAGCCGCGGUAAUAC